GUCUACAGCCAUACCACCUUGAAUGCACCCGAUCUUGUCUGAUCUCAGAAGCUAAGCAGGGUUGGGCCUGGUUGGUACUUGGAUGGAAGAAU
rnacentral:rRNA from 1 species